rnacentral:tRNA from 1 species
GACUUAAAUAAUUUGAGCGAAAAUCCGUUGGCUUUAUUGACCAUGAGGGUUCAAGUCCCUCUACCCCCA